AGGUAGCGAAAUUCCUUGUCGGGUAAGUUCCGACCCGCACGAAAGGCGUAAUGAUUUGGGCACUGUCUCAACGAGAGACUCGGUGAAAUUUUAGUACCUGUGAAGAUGCAGGUUACCCGCGACAGGACGGAAAGACCCCAUGGAGCUUUACUGCAGUUUGAUAUUGAGUAUCUGUACCACAUGUACAGGAUAGGUAGGAGCCAUUGACUUCGGGACGCCAGUUUCGAAUGAGGCGUUGUUGGGAUACUACCCUUGUGUUAUGGCUACUCUAA
rnacentral:rRNA from 1 species